UUUUCUUUAGGGGUACCUUG
rnacentral:rRNA from 1 species